GCACGCCCCGAUCUCGUCUGAUCUCGGAAGCUAAGC
rnacentral:rRNA from 10 species